rnacentral:rRNA from 1 species
AUACGUAGGGAGCAAGCGUUGUCCGGAAUUACUGGGCGUAAAGGGUGCGUAGGUGGCUUGGCAAGUCAGAUGUGAAAUCCCCGGGCUUAACUCGGGUUCUGCAUUUGAAACUGCUUGGCUUGAGUGCAGGAGAGGAAAGCGGAAUUCCUAGUGUAGCGGUGAAAUGCGUAGAUAUUAGGAGGAACACCAGUGGCGAAGGCGGCUUUCUGGACUGUAACUGACACUGAGGCACGAAAGCGUGGGGAGC